UGACGGCGCAAGACGCUGGCUUCAUUCGGCUGAUGAAGCGAGGAGAUACUUGGACGACCUGCCCGCUACAGCCGAAUCACCCUGAGAGCCUGCUUAUCUGGUCUUGACUGUUGUCUGCGGGACAGCCCUGUGGAGGUGACUUCAGAGGCCCUGGACAUAACUGUGAUUCUCCUGAAUGAGCUGUUGUAACCAGGCACCAACUUCUUCAGCAGCUGCAAGGCUCAGCAGAACUUCAGGAAAAGGGAAAUGUUAUAUGGGGCCCACAGUAUGAAAAAUACAACCACUAUACAGAUGAUCAGCUUGACAAUCUUCUUUGAGGUCCUCAUGUUUACCAGCCUGGGGAUGAUCCUGGAGUAGCACCACCAAGGGAAUCACGAGACCCAGCACAUUUCUGUUGAACAAAUCAUAACGCUCCCAGACUUUGCUCUCCUCGGGAUAGUCACAUCCAAACUCCUGAGACUCUUGUGUUUGCUGUAUGAACAUAAAAUCUGGCAGAGAGACAAACAAGCUCAGCAUCCAAAUGAGCAUGGUCAGAAUAAUAGCUGCCCUCUUAAUGCAAAAACGUGCAACCCUGUGAACGUGCACAAUGAUCAUGUAGCAACAACAGGUUCCUGCAAUGUGUAAAUACAAUACAGUCCCCACGAUAUACACACAACACAUCCUGGGAUUUAUAGGUAGGUGGACACAUCUACCUAUAAAUCCCAGGAUGAAAACCAAACUGUAGAGAGUGGAGAGAAACUGUUUGUUAGUCCUUUACAUCGGUGGAGUUGGUAGGAGAAAAGUCUUCUCCUAUCCCAUUAUCAUAAGCGCUGUAAUCUUCCUCUAUGGCAUUAUAGAAAGAGAGAAAGAGCUUUUCAAUAUUAUCAUUAUCAUUAUUAUUAUUAUUAUUAGUAUUAGUAGUAGUAGUAGUAGUAGUAUUGCUAAUAUUUUUUUUAUUUAUUUUGAAGUAGCCUGUUUAAAACCAACUCUUGUUGAUAUAUUGCUGUUUUUAAAGGUCAUUAAUUUUACUAUGAGCAUAAAUAAUCGGCAUUGGUGUUUUGGCCCUGAGUCAGUUCAUGUUCCAGGUUAUUUUGCAACCUUUGGGUGGUCACAAGUAGGCUACUCACUCCUCAGGUAAGUUUUUUCACUCAUUUACUCCAUACGCUGUCACUAUUUUAUGUAGGAUUUAAACCUCCUUAAUGUUGUCUAUUCUGAAGAAAGGUCAUAUCAGGGUAAAAUUUGCCCACAUGUAUAAUCAUCAACUUCUUUAUUUCAGCUGGUGCAAUAAAAGUU